rnacentral:tRNA from 1 species
GGGAAUGUUGCUCAGUGGUAGAGUGCUUGCCUUGCAUGCAUGAGGCCCUGGGUUUGAUUCCUCAGCACCA